rnacentral:rRNA from 1 species
GCAAGUCGAGGGGCAGCAUUUACUUCGGUAAGAUGGCGACCGGCGAACGGGUGCGUAACGCGUAUGCAACCUACCUUAUACAAAAGGAUAACCCAUUGAAACGUGGAUUAAGACUUUAUGGUACUAUAAAACUGCAUAGUUUAAUAGUUAAAACUUCGGUGGUAUAAGAUGGGCAUGCGUAGGAUUAGGUAGUUGGUGGGGUAACAGCCCACCAAGCCGACGAUCCUUAGGGGUUCUGAGAGGACAAUC